rnacentral:lncRNA from 1 species
GGCGGGGAGCACAGCAGGUGAGCAGCGCGCCGGACAAGGUCGGGGUCCCGGCACAGAAAAGGAAAUGGGGUUGACCCGGGUCCGCCCCGCGGUGCCGGGGCUGGGAGUCUAAGGUACAGGUCACCUGGAGGAAGCCACAUACUGACCUCCUCAUGCUGCUGACACAGGCAGGAUGGCAUUGAACUCAGGGUCACCUCCAGGAAUUGGACCUUACUAUGAGAACCACGGGUAUCAGUCUGAGCACGUCUAUUCCCCGAGGCCACCUGUGUCUCCCAGUGGCUACAACUUGUAUCCAGCCCAGAGCUGCCCAUCUCCAGUGCCCCAGUAUGCUCCGAGAGUCACAACUCAAGCCUCAACACCUGCCAUCCACAUACAGCCCCGAUCCUCAGGAACACUGUGCACCUCAAAAUCUAAGAAAUCCAUGCUUGUCGCCCUGGCCCUGGGCACUGUCCUCGCCGGUGCUGCUGUGGCUGCUGGCUUGCUUUGGAAGUUCUGGGACAGCAAGUGCUCUUCAUCAGAGAUGGAGUGUGGGUCUUCAGGGACAUGUAUCAGCUCCUCCCUCUGGUGUGACGGAGUGUCACAGUGUCCCAACGGGGAAGACGAGAACCGGUGUGUUCGCCUCUAUGGAACAAGCUUCACCCUCCAGGUUUACUCAUCUCAGAGGAAAGCCUGGUAUCCCGUCUGCCAGGAUGAUUGGAAUGAGAGCUACGGGAGAGCAGCAUGUAAAGACAUGGGAUACAAGAACAGCUUUUAUUCUAGCCAAGGGAUACCAGACCAGAGCGGGGCAACGAGCUUUAUGAAGCUGAAUGUGAGCGCAG